rnacentral:misc_RNA from 1 species
GACAAGCCUAUCGUCAAUUUGAAGUUCCUUGGUGACAAAAUCUGCACCAAUUGUAGCUUUAUAUUGCUGGCUGAACUUCUUAUGCACGUAUUGGUUCAUCAACGACGUCUUACCAACCCCACUAUCACCGAGAACGAUGACCUUGAGCAAAGUCCGUCUACGGAAAGACAUGGCAACAAAACCAAUGAAUGAAUCAAUCAAUCAAUUCAGAG